rnacentral:rRNA from 1 species
GACGAACGCUGGCGGCGUGCUUAACACAUGCAAGUCGAACGGAAAGGCCCUGCUUUUGUGGGGUGCUCGAGUGGCGAACGGGUGAGUAACACGUGAGUAACCUGCCCUUGACUUUGGGAUAACUUCAGGAAACUGGGGCUAAUACCGGAUAGGAGCUCCUGCUGCAUGGUGGGGGUUGGAAAGUUUCGGCGGGUGUGGAUGGACUCGCGGCUUAUCAGCUUGUUGGUGGGGGAGUGGCUUACCAAGGGUUUGACGGGUAGCCGGCCUGAGAGGGUGAACGGCGACAUUGGGACUGAGAUAGGGACCAGACUGCUACGGGAGGCAGCAGGGGGGAGUAUUGCACAAUGGGCGGAAGCGUGAUGCAGAGGCGCCGCGUGCGGGAUGACGGCCUUCGGGGUGUAAACAGCUUUCGCCUGUGACGAAGCGGGAGUGACGGUAAUGGGUAAAGAAGCACCGGCUAACUACGUG